UGGGUCUUGGCUUUAGUAUGUGCAGAAAGCUUGUACAGCUAAUGCACGGAGACAUAUGGGCUGUGCCGAAUUCCCAAGGCGUCGUCGAGAGCAUGACUUUGAUUCUCCGAUUCCAACCUCAACUCACUUCCGAAUAAGAUUUCCUCGACAUCAGUUCUGUACAGCCUCAGAGCUCUGCCUUAUGCAGAUUAAAUUGGUGUACCAGUAAUGAUCACUGCGGGGAUCCUCACAAGCCAGUUUUACUCUCGAGGUACCAAGAGUUGAACUUUGUGUGUUCUUCAGAAUGUCUAGAACUAGGCCAAUUAUUUACCUUUAUGCCACGAAUCAAAACUUAAAUAAAAA
rnacentral:misc_RNA from 1 species